rnacentral:rRNA from 1 species
GGUGAACGCUGGCGGCGUGCUUAACACAUGCAAGUCGAACGGAAAGGCUCCUGCUUGCAGGGGUACUCGAGUGGCGAACGGGUGAGUAACACGUGGGUGAUCUGCCCUGCACUUCGGGAUAAGCCUGGGAAACUGGGUCUAAUACCGGAUAGGACCACAUUUUGGAUGGUGUGGUGGAAAGUUUUUCGGUGUGGGAUGAGCUCGCGGCCUAUCAGCUUGUUGGUGGGGUAAUGGCCUACCAAGGCGUCGACGGGUAGCCGGCCUGAGAGGGUGUACGGCCACAUUGGGACUGAGAUACGGCCCAGACUCCUACGGGAGGCAGCAGUGGGGAAUAUUGCACAAUGGGCGCAAGCCUGAUGCAGCGACGCCGCGUGGGGGAUGACGGCCUUCGGGUUGUAAACUCCUUUCGCUAGGGACGAAGCGCAAGUGACGGUACCUGGAGAAGAAGCACCGGCUAACUACGUG